UGCGUAGGCGGAAUGAUAAGUUAGUGGUGAAAGCCCCCGGCUCAACCGGGGAACUGCCAUUAAUACUGUCAUUCUUGAGUAUAGUUGAAGUGGGCGGAAUGUAUCAUGUAGCGGUGAAAUGCUUAGAUAUGAUACAGAACACCGAUAGCGUGGGCAGCUUGCUAAACUAUAACUGACGCUCAGGCACAAAAGCGUGGGGAGCAAACAGGAUUAGAUACCCUGGUAGUCC
rnacentral:rRNA from 1 species